GAUGAACGCUGGCGGCGUGCCUAAUACAUGCAAGUCGAGCGAACAGACGAGGAGCUUGCUCCUUUGACGUUAGCGGCGGACGGGUGAGUAACACGUGGAUAACCUACCUAUAAGACUGGGAUAACUUCGGGAAACCGGAGCUAAUACCGGAUAACAUGUUGAACCGCAUGGUUCAACAGUGAAAGACGGUCUUGCUGUCACUUAUAGAUGGAUCCGCGCCGCAUUAGCUAGUUGGUAAGGUAACGGCUUACCAAGGCAACGAUGCGUAGCCGACCUGAGAGGGUGAUCGGCCACACUGGAACUGAGACACGGUCCAGACUCCUACGGGAGGCAGCAGCAGGGAAUCUUCCGCAAUGGGCGAAAGCCUGACGGAGCAACGCCGCGUGAGUGAAGAAGGUCUUCGGAUCGUAAAACUCUGUUAUUAGGGAAGAACAAAUGUGUAAGUAACUAUGCACGUCUUGACGGUACCUAAUCAGAAAGCCACGGCUAACUACGUG
rnacentral:rRNA from 1 species